CCCACCCCACCACCAUGGCAGCCAUUUUAAACCAAAACGUUUCAGCAGUGCACAUCAGCUGACAGUAGAGAGGUCAGGAGGACAUCUUACACCCUCUUCAUCAUCAAGACACCCCAGCCUUCACAUCAUCUUCAUCAUCAUCAUGAAGACAUCCCCACCCAGCACCAGCCUUCACAUCAUCAUCAUCAUCAUGAAGACAUCCCAGCACCAGCCUUCACAUCCUCUUCAUCAUCAUCAUUAAGACAUCCCACCCCAGCCUUCACAUCCUCUUCAUCAUCAUCAUGAAGACAUCCCCCACCCAGCACCAGCCUUCACAUCCUCUUCAUCAUCAUCAUCAUCAUCAUCAUCAUUAAGACCCCCCCCAGCACCAGCCUUCACAUCCUCUUCAUCAUCAUCAUUAAGACAUCCCCCCCAGCCUUCACAUCCUCUUCAUCAUCAUCAUGAAGACAUCCCCCAGCACCAGCCUUCACAUCCUCUUCAUCAUCAUCAUUAAGACAUCCCCCACCCCAGCACCAGCCUUCACAUCCUCUUCAUCAUCAUCAUUAAGACAUCCCCCCCAGCACCAGCCUUCACAUCCUCUUCAUCAUCAUCAUCAAGACAUCCCACAUGUUAUAAGGAGCUAUGAUGUGUUAUAAGGAGCUAUGAUGUGUUAUAACGAGCUAUGAUGUGUUAUAACAUGUUAUAAGGAGCUAUGAUGUGUUAUAACAUGUUAUAAGGAGCUAUGAUGUGUUAUAACGUGUUAUAAGGAGCUAUAACGUGUUAUAAGGAGCUAUGAUGUGUUAUAACGUGUUAUAAGGAGCUAUGAUGUGUUAUAACGUGUUAUAAGGAGCUAUGACGUGUUAUAAGGAGCUAUGAUGUGUUAUAAGGAGCUAUGAUGUGUUAUAACAUGUUAUAAGGAGCUAUGAUGUGUUAUAAGGAGCUAUGACGUGUUAUAAGGAGCUAUGAUGUGUUAUAAGGAGCUAUGAUGUGUUAUAAGGAGCUAUGACGUGUUAUAAGGAGCUAUGAUGUGUUAUAAGGAGCUAUGACGUGUUAUAAGGAGCUAUGAUGUGUUAUAAGGAGCUAUGACGUGUUAUAAGGAGCUAUGAUGUGUUAUAAGGAGCUAUGAUGUGUUAUAAGGAGCUAUGAUGUGUUAUAACGUGUUAUAAGGAGCUAUGAUGUGUUAUAAGGAGCUAUGAUGUGUUAUAAGGAGCUAUGAUGUGUUAUAAGGAGCUAUGAUGUGUUAUAAGGAGCUAUGAUGUGUUAUAAGGAGCUAUGACGUGUUAUAAGGAGCUAUGAUGUGUUAUAACAUGUUAUAAGGAGCUAUGAUGUGUUAUAAGGAGCUAUAACGUGUUAUAACAUGUUAUAAGGAGCUAUGAUGUGUUAUAACAUGUUAUAAGGAGCUAUGAUGUGUUAUAAGGAGCUAUGAUGUGUUAUAAGGAGCUAUGAUGUGUUAUAACAUGUUAUAAGGAGCUAUGAUGUGUUAUAAGAAGCUAUAAGCAUUCAUACAGUGGUUCAUAUUCCAAUGCAUAUUUAAUAAACCAUCGAUGAGUGGA